rnacentral:ncRNA from 1 species
GUUUUGUAUGAAAGGAGAGAAGGUUAGCACUCCCCUUGACAAGGAUGGAAGACGCCCGUGGGCCUAACGAUAUGCAUAUGGUUAAGGCAUGGUUAAGGCAUGCCACCUACUUCUCGGCUUCUAACCAUUGUUUCUG